CAAACGGCCCUUUUUAGGGCAACCAAUACUUCACAAAAAGAGUCUU
rnacentral:ncRNA from 1 species